CAUACCGUAUUUCUAAUUAUGUUUCCUUCAUAAAAAAUUUUUUUUGGGGACGUUUACCGUAAUAGUAAUGGGUAGGCCGAGUACAUCGCUUGAUUUCAGCCGAACGCGCUUUAAUGCAAGGUUUCGUUAUUAGCAAAAAAAAUUGCAUCGGUGGCAAGUACUAUAUCCGCCAUACAUGAGGCGAAUACUAAUUUUUGAAAAAGAUCAUUUGUUUUUAAACAAAUAGUGAAAACAAUUACUGGGAAUCCCUUUAAAUAUGACGUCAGCCGCAAACGCCCUGCCAUUAGUGUGACGUCACAACUGUGGUCGCCAUAUUUGUUUACAUUCUGUGUUCGUAGAUCCAGGCUUGUAGAGGUCCGUUCGGCAAGGCCAGGUUUGCUCUCUUGUGCGCAAAAACGAUAAACAAUGUGUAGUCAAACUAAUAGUAGAUAAUGCUGAUAAUGGCCGAUCCUGGCUUUGUCAAAGCUCAAUCGGACAAUCUUCCGCACGUCGACGCCUUAAUGGUAGCCGAAUUUUUCGCAUCCAGCGACAAAUACACCGCGGUAGAAAUUAGAGGACUCAACUGAAAGCUAUGCGUGCUGGUCGUGAAAAUUACGGUAAUGCCUGUUGGUUACGUGCAGAUACAACGCAGUCAAAAUGUUUGUACGAUAAAGUGUCGGCUUUGCCCUGAACACAGAGUAAGGCAGCGUUGUUGUUGUCAUCGAUGAAGUGGAGGAGAAGAUCCAGUCUGCGGAUUGUCAAGAUUGUGCAGCUGGAGCAGGGGGUUGCAAGCAUGCAGUGGCCUUUGUCAUGUGGUUGCAUAGGCGUGGCGAAGAACCUUCUCCAACUGAUGUUGAGAGCUACUGGAGAAAAUCAAAGUUGGCAGGAGUUGGUAUCUCACUGAAAUAUAUAACGGUGAAAAACUUUGGAGCUGCAGAGGAUACUCCUGCAGGGUCUUCAGUUGCCCCUGCUAGCACGCUUGAUAGAAGGGAGUAAGUAAAAAUCAGUUGCAAGUCAACUGCUAAAGUAUUUCUCCGAUGGUGCAAGUACAAAUAAUUUAAACAACAUGGGGGUGCAUACGCUUGCAGUCAACUUUAUCGUAGGUGAAGGGCAAGGAGUAGAUAAUUUCUUUACUUUUUGUGAAGAAAGAAUGACUCCAGAAAUGUGCAACAUAUGUUUUAUUGCUACAAAAGAGCAAAGCAGUAGUGUCUUAUGGCAUGAAUUGCGCUAUGCAAGAAUUACAGCAUCAAAAGUGUACGAAGCUGCAAGAUGUAAAACACUAUCUGGCUCAUUAGUGGAGUUCAUAUUUGGGGCAAAACUAAAAGAAACUGCAGCUAUAAAUCGAGGUAAGCUACUUGAAGAUGAAGUUCUGUCAGUUUUACAGAAACAGCUGAAUAUGAAAUUCAGCAAAGUUGGUUUGAUGUUGUCAGGAAAGUAUCCGGUAUUUGGUGCUUCACCGAAUGCUGUUAAUGAGGAAUUCGUAGUGGAAGUUAAAUGUCCCUCUAGUGAAAAGACUGUCAAUGCUUAUGUGACAAAAGACAAUAAAAUAGUAAACAAGGGCACAGAUUCACUUACAAAUGCUAGUAAAUAAUAAGAGAAGUGGUAUAUUUUGUGUCGCAGAUCCAAAUUUUGAAAGCAACAAAGUUAUUACUGUGUUAAGAGAUGAAUAUGAUCACGAUUUUAUUCAACCGGUAAUAGAAAUGGCAGUUGAUUUUUGGAAAGCAGCAAUUUUUCCUAAAGUUUUAAAUAGCCUUCCACCCGAGCUUCCAUCAUUGUAAAUAUGUAUACCUUUAUAUAAGUGUAAACCAUUAUUUUUUGUAAAUAUGUAACGUUAUUGUUUUCUUUUUAUGACAUGGAAUAAAUUGUUUUAAAUA